rnacentral:rRNA from 1 species
UAAGUUUGAUGGCGACCGGCGCACGGGUGNGUAACACGUAUCCAACCUGCCGAUGACUCGGGGAUAGCCUUUCGAAAGAAAGAUUAAUACCCGAUGGCAUAGUUCUUCCGCAUGGUGGAACUAUUAAAGAAUUUCGGUCAUCGAUGGGGAUGCGUUCCAUUAGGUUGUUGGCGGGGUAACGGCCCACCAAGCCUUCGAUGGAUAGGGGUUCUGAGAGGAAGGUCCCCCACAUUGGAACUGAGACACGGUCUAAACUCCUACGGGAGGCAGCAUG